AUUGAACGCUGGCGGCAGGCUUAACACAUGCAAGUCGAACGAUGAUUAUCUAGCUUGCUAGAUAUGAUUAGUGGCGGACGGGUGAGUAACAUUUAGGAAUCUGCCUAGUAGUGGGGGAUAGCUCGGGGAAACUCGAAUUAAUACCGCAUACGACCUACGGGUGAAAGGGGGCGCAAGCUCUUGCUAUUAGAUGAGCCUAAAUCAGAUUAGCUAGUUGGUGGGGUAAAGGCCCACCAAGGCGACGAUCUGUAACUGGUCUGAGAGGAUGAUCAGUCACACCGGAACUGAGACACGGUCCGGACUCCUACGGGAGGCAGCAGUGGGGAAUAUUGGACAAUGGGGGCAACCCUGAUCCAGCCAUGCCGCGUGUGUGAAGAAGGCCUUUUGGUUGUAAAGCACUUUAAGCAGGGAGGAGAGGCUAAUGGUUAAUACCCAUUAGAUUAGACGUUACCUGCAGAAUAAGCACCGGCUAACUCUGUGCCAGCAGCCGCGGUAAUACAGAGGGUGCGAGCGUUAAUCGGAAUUACUGGGCGUAAAGCGAGUGUAGGUGGCUCAUUAAGUCACAUGUGAAAUCCCCGGGCUUAACCUGGGAACUGCAUGUGAUACUGGUGGUGCUAGAAUAUGUGAGAGGGAAGUAGAAUUCCAGGUGUAGCGGUGAAAUGCGUAGAGAUCUGGAGGAAUACCGAUGGCGAAGGCAGCUUCCUGGCAUAACAUUGACACUGAGAUUCGAAAGCGUGGGUAGCAAACAGGAUUAGAUACCCUGGUAGUCCACGCCGUAAACGAUGUCUACUAGCCGUUGGGGUCCUUGGGACUUUAGUGGCGCAGUUAACGCGAUAAGUAGACCGCCUGGGGAGUACGGCCGCAAGGUUAAAACUCAAAUGAAUUGACGGGGGCCCGCACAGGCGGUGGAGCAUGUGGUUUAAUUCGAUGCAACGCGAAGAACCUUACCUGGUCUUGACAUAGUGAGAAUCCUGCAGAGAUGCGGGAGUGCCUUCGGGAAUUCACAUACAGGUGCUGCAUGGCUGUCGUCAGCUCGUGUCGUGAGAUGUUGGGUUAAGUCCCGCAACGUGCGCAACCCUUUUCCUUAUUUGCCAGCGGGUUAAGCCGGGAACUUUAAGGAUACUGCCAGUGACAAACUGGAGGAAGGCGGGGACGACGUCAAGUCAUCAUGGCCCUUACGACCAGGGCUACACACGUGCUACAAUGGUAGGUACAGAGGGUUGCUACACAGCGAUGUGAUGCUAAUCUCAAAAAGCCUAUCGUAGUCCGGAUUGGAGUCUGCAACUCGACUCCAUGAAGUCGGAAUCGCUAGUAAUCGCAGAUCAGAAUGCUGCGGUGAAUACGUUCCCGGGCCU
rnacentral:rRNA from 1 species